rnacentral:sRNA from 1 species
GUCUCCCCGGUUCGCUAAUCAAAGUAGAAUUUGUAUUCACUCUGUAAACAUGAACUGUCUGAAGAUCUGCGGUUUUUUCUUCGCGCUGAUUGCGGCUUUGUCAACGGCGGAGGCUGCCACCCAAGUCAUUAAUGCUGGCGGACAUACGUUGGUUCAAACUGAUCGCUCGCAGUAUAUUCGCAGAAACUGAAAAGAAACUCAAAUUGAUUAAUUGAUUAAGGAAAUAAAAAUGUGUUAACGCAGAAAAGCUA